GACGAACGCUGGCGGCGUGCUUAACACAUGCAAGUCGAACGGUGAAGCGAGUGCUUGCACUCGUGGAUCAGUGGCGAACGGGUGAGUAACACGUGAGUAACCUGCCCAUCACUCUGGGAUAAGCACUGGAAACGGUGUCUAAUACUGGAUACGACCAACCCUUGCAUGAGGUGUUGGUGGAAAGAUUUAUCGGUGAUGGAUGGACUCGCGGCCUAUCAGCUUGUUGGCGGGGUAAUGGCCCACCAAGGCGACGACGGGUAGCCGGCCUGAGAGGGUGACCGGCCACACUGGGACUGAGACACGGCCCAGACUCCUACGGGAGGCAGCAGUGGGGAAUAUUGCACAAUGGGCGAAAGCCUGAUGCAGCGACGCCGCGUGAGGGAUGACGGCCUUCGGGUUGUAAACCUCUUCCAGCAGGGAAGAAGCGAAAGUGACGGUACCUGCAGAAGAAGCACCGGCUAACUACGUG
rnacentral:rRNA from 1 species